CCUUAAGAUGUCGAAGUUGUUGAGUGUUCACACAGAUUGCCUUGAUUCAAAGUAGUUAGAGCAAAGACCUGGUGCAGUGAUGCAUCAGCUUCUGUUGUCCAGCCUUCGGGAUGGAUGAGAGAAAACCUCUUCUGCCGGAUAACGGGAUGUGAAUAGCAGUUUACUGCUACCUGUUGCUUCAGUGCGAAAGCACUGCAAAGCAGACUCGGGGUCCCCUUCGUCUAGAGGCCUAGGACACCGCCCUUUCACGGCGGUAACAGGGGUUCGAAUCCCCUAGGGGACGCCACUUCUCUUCUUGCUAACAAGAAUGCAGAGUUAAGAACUGAUUCUUAACUCUGUUUUCUUCGGUCACUGACCGUUGCAAACAUGCUCUUUAACAAUCUGGAAAGUGAUUUAAAAAGUAGUUCUCAAACAUUUGUUACAAGUGCUUUGGAAACUUCUUGGCGAAAACCAAAUUUUAUUUGGUCCUUGUUGUACGACAACAAGCCGUGCCGGUUUCACCGACACUUCUUGGGGUUGUAU
rnacentral:tRNA from 1 species